GAUGAAGAACGUAGCGAAAUGCGAUACUUGGUGUGAAUUGCAGAAUCCCGUGAACCAUCGAGUCUUUGAACGCAAGUUGCGCCUGAAGCCAUUAGGCCGAGGGCACGCCUGCCUGGGCGUCACACGUCGUUGCCCCCCCAUCUACUCCUUCGGGAUUGCGGGGGGCGGAUGAUGGCCUCCCGUGCGCCUCGCCGCGCGGUUGGCAUAAAUGCCAAGUCCUCGGCGACGCACGCCACGACAAUCGGUGGUUGCGAAACCUCGGUUGCCCGUCGUGUGCGGUCGUCGCGCAUCGAGGGCUCGAAAAAAUUGCCGGGUUCCGGCUCGGCUUUCAACGCGACCCCAGGUCAGGCGGGGUUACCCGCUGAAUUUAAGCAUAUCAAUAAGCGGAGGA
rnacentral:misc_RNA from 1 species